GUCACAAGUUUUCAUUUCUCAUUCAUGGUCAGAGCUGGUAUCUUGUCAUUUUCUGAGAUUUCAUAAUGCAAAGAUCUUGCGUAAGGGAUUAUUUUGUGAGAUUGAGCUGGUCUUAAUUUCAUAGAGUGAGUUCUUACACUCUGUUGCAGCUCUCCAAUGCCUCUCCCUCGCAGGAAGGACCUUCUGUCACAGCUGGGGGGUCGGAUCUUGCAUCCCAAUCCCAGUCACCUCCAGCUCUGGGUUUGGCCACUUCGAGGUCCGGCAUCUCCUUCUCAGAUUAUGACGGAGAUGUCGAGCAUACAAUGACUAACGCCAAGGCCCCUUCGACACGACUGGUGUACACUCAUAAGUGGAAAGUUUUUGACAGUUGGUAUCGUGCUAGACAUAUGGAUCCAGUACGCUGUUCUAUUUCAUUUAUUUUAACCUUCCUUCAAGCACUGCUUUCUCAAGGUCGGUCUCCGUCCACUCUGAAAGUUUAUGUAGCUGCUAUCUCUUGUUGGCAUGUGGUGGUGGAUGGUGAGACAAUAGGCCGUAAUAAGAAUGCUUCUUUGUUUCUGAGGGGUGCCCGGCGCCUGCACCCUCCCUUACGCCCUGUUGUACCUGUGUGGGACCUCUCUCUCUCUUCUUCACUGCACUGCAAUCUCCCCCGUUUGAGCCCUUGGCGGAGGUGAGCCUUGAGUAUUUGUCAUAAAAGACUGCCUUUCUCCUUGCCAUGGCUUUGGCGAAGCGGAUGGGUGAACUACAUGCGCUGUCUGUUCACGAGUCCUGUUGCCGUUGGAACCCAGCUGGCUCUGGCAUUUCUCUUUGGCCUGACGUGACAUUUCUUCCUAAGGUAGCCUCAUCUGCGAGCCACUCUGUGCCCCUCCAACUUGCUCGCUUUGACACAGGUGGGCCUGAUGAACUUCUCUGCCCUGUUCGGGCACUGGAAGCAUAUGUCAGACUGAUAUCUUUUCUGCGGCAGUCUGAUAGUCUGUUUGUUUGCCAUGCAGGGCCAUGCAAGGGGCAGGCCAUUUCCAAACAGCGUUGGAUUGUGGAGGUGGUGGAACAAGCGUACGUUCUACAGGGCCACCAACCUCCUGCUGGUGUACGGUGCCAUUCCACCAGGAGCAUUAGUGCAUCAUGGGCCGCUAUGACUGGCGUCACUCUGGAGGCUAUCUGUGCAGCACCCUCCUGGUCAUCUCCGAAUACUUUUGCUAGAUUUUACAGGGUAAACCUGGCUGCCUUUCACCCGCUGGAGGGGAUCCUGUCCCAGCGCUCGUCAUCCCAGUGAGACCAAUGAUGUUAUUGCCAUGAGGACUGCUGUGCUGCGAUGUCCACCAGUUUUUCUCGGGGAUGGUGGAAGAGAGUUUUACAACGUCUCUUUUGAUUCAGAUGCCAUGGCAGACUUCACGUUCCUGUGGGGUUAUUGACAGUUGUUCCUGAAGUCAGUCAGCAGCCACGUCCAAAUGCUCUACACCUUGAACCAUC